rnacentral:hammerhead_ribozyme from 1 species
GUCCGGUUGAACAGUCCCAAAUAGGACGAAAUGCGCGUCCUGGAU